AUCGAACAGGUGGAAGCAUCAACAAGUCAAGUGGCAGACCAGCAGAUGCCUGUAUAUAACCUUCCAUGGAAGAUCCUCUGCCGCGUUAUUAAUGUGCACUUAAAGGCCGAACCGGACACUGAUGAGGUAUUUGCACAAAUAACUUUGCUUCCAGAGGCUAAUCAAGAUGAGAAUGCUGUGGACAAGGAACCCCCACCUCCUCCCCCGCGGAGAUUUCAUGUGCAUUCCUUUUGCAAGACUCUGACUGCCUCUGACACCAGUACUCAUGGGGGGUUUUCAGUCUUGAGACGCCAUGCUGAUGAAUGUCUUCCACCACUGGACAUGUCACGACAGCCUCCUACUCAGGAGUUGGUUGCAAAGGAUUUGCAUGGAACAGAAUGGCGUUUUCGUCAUAUAUUUCGAGGGCAACCGCGUAGGCAUUUGCUUCAGAGUGGUUGGAGUGUUUUCGUGAGCUCAAAAAGACUGGUUGCAGGAGAUGCUUUUAUAUUCUUG
rnacentral:misc_RNA from 1 species